rnacentral:rRNA from 1 species
GAUCAUGGCUCAGGAUGAACGCUGACAGAAUGCUUAACACAUGCAAGUCUACUUGAACUUCGGUUUGGGUGGCGGACGGGUGAGUAACGCGUAAAGAACUUGCCUCACAGACUGGGACAACAUCUGGAAACGGAUGCUAAUACCGGAUAUUAUGAUUUUAGUGCAUGCUAGAAUUAUGAAAGCUAUAUGCGCUGUGAGAGAGCUUUGCGUCCCAUUAG